rnacentral:rRNA from 1 species
UAGGGAAUCUUCGGCAAUGGACGAAAGUCUGACCGAGCAACGCCGCGUGAGUGAAGAAGGUUUUCGGAUCGUAAAACGCUGUUGUUAGAGAAGAACAAGGACGUUAGUAACUGAACGUCCCCUGACGGUAUCUAACCAGAAAGCCACGGCUAACUACGUGCCAGCAGCCGCGGUAAUACGUAGGUGGCAAGCGUUGUCCGGAUUUAUUGGGCGUAAAGCGAGAGCAGGCGGUUUCUUAAGUCUGAUGUGAAAGCCCCCGGCUCAACCGGGGAGGGUCAUUUGAAGCUGGGAGACUUGAGUGCAGAAGAGGAGAGUGGAAUUCCAUGUGUAGCGGUGAAAUGCGUAGAUAUAUAGAGGAACACCAGUGGCGAAGGCGGCGCUCUGGUCUGUAACUGACGCUGAGGCUCGAAAGCGUGGUGAGCAAACAGG